rnacentral:rRNA from 1 species
UACGUAGGGGGCAAGCGUUGUCCGGAUUUAUUGGGCGUAAAGAGCGUGUAGGCGGCUUUGCAAGUCCGUUGUGAAAACUCGAGGCUCAACCUCGAGACGCCGGUGGAAACUGCAAAGCUAGAGUCCGGAAGAGAAGAGUGGAAUUCCGCGUGUAGCAGUGAAAUGCGUAGAUAUGCGGAGGAACACCGAUGGCGAAGGCAAUCCCCUGGGCCUGCACUGACGCUCAUGCACGAAAGCGUGGGGAGCAAACAGG